CUAUCAAUGAAGUAUGAUAAUGUGCACAUAAAUUGAAUUGGGUCUCUAGGCUUGCCCUCUCUGAUGUCAUUUGGCUUUCAUUUGGGGGCAUGGUUCUGCAGCAAAACA